rnacentral:rRNA from 1 species
AAUCAACGCUGGCGGCGUGCCUCAGACAUGCAAGUCGAACGAGAAGUCCCCUUCGGGGGAUGGAUAGUGGCGCACGGGUGAGUAACACGUGGGUAAUUUACCUUUGGGUGGGGAACAACAGCCGGAAACGGCUGCUAAUACCGCAUAAUGCAGCGGCUCCUCAUGGAGACAGUUGUUAAAGCGGGGGAUCGCAAGACCUCGCGCCUGAAGAGAAGCCCGCGGCAGAUUAGCUAGUUGGUAAGGUAAUGGCUUACCAAGGCGACGAUCUGUAACCGGCCUGAGAGGGCGGUCGGUCACACUGACACUGACAUACGGGUCAGACUCCUACGGGAGGCAGCAGUCGGGAAUUUUGGGCAAUGGGCGAAAGCCUGACCCAGCAACGCCGCGUGAAGGAUGAAGUUUUUCGGAAUGUAAACUUCACAAGAUUGGGAAGAAUAAGUUUUGGAUAAUACCCAAACGAUGACGGUACCAUUUGUAAGCUCCGGCUAACUCCGUGCCAGCCGCCGCCGU